UUUGUUUAGUGAUGCUUUUGUUUAGUUAUUAUUUUUUAAAAGGUUCUGCUACCUAAGUAAAUCUACUUUUGGUAGUCAACGUGAAGGCGUAGUGGGACUCUGUUAAACACUCUUGUGUCGCGCCCCCAAUCUGGGAUGAGUUGCACCUAUUGUCUGCCUUUCUUGUCCAUUCGUUGUCAUCCAGGUGGUCUUUGAACCUAUGCUUGCAUGUUCGUUAUUGUUCCAUCUAUCGCGCAUGCACCGUGACUGACUAAAGAGCUGAUCGUGGUGCGACUUUUAUUUUAUCUUGGUUCUGUUUGAUUUGAGGCAACCAUUCUCUAAACCCAGAUUUUUUUCUUUUUCUGUUAUCCCAUGUACCAGUUGUAGAAUUGAUGAUGCUUAUUUGUCUGAUCAUACACAUGUAUCUUUCAGGUUUUGAUUCGGUGUCCUUUUGUAAGGGAAACAGGAUUAGAUGGAGAGUCAGUUAUUAAUUCAUUUUGCCUUACCAUCACUCUAUUUCAGCACAUGUACCAUAAUAGAAUUUAUAUCUUUCUAGCUAGUUCACUAUAUAUGCUACAUAACACCCAUAAAAUCUUUGGAAUUGCAUUGCU